ACGAACGCUGGCGGCAUGCCUAACACAUGCAAGUCGCACGAGAUCUUUCGGGGUCUAGUGGCGCACGGGUGCGUAACGCGUGGGAAUCUGCCUUAGGGUAUGGAAUAACUCAGAGAAAUUUGAGCUAAUACCAUAUGAAGUCUUCGGACCAAAGAUUUAUCGCCCUGAGAUGAGCCCGCGUAGGAUUAGCUAGUUGGUGGGGUAAAGGCCUACCAAGGCGACGAUCCUUAGCUGGUCUGAGAGGAUGAUCAGCCACACUGGGACUGAGACACGGCCCAGACUCCUACGGGAGGCAGCAGUGGGGAAUAUUGGACAAUGGGCGCAAGCCUGAUCCAGCAAUGCCGCGUGAGUGAUGAAGGCCUUAGGGUUGUAAAGCUCUUUUACCCGGGAUGAUAAUGACAGUACCGGGAGAAUAAGCCCCGGCUAACUCCGUG
rnacentral:rRNA from 1 species